CAGAUUAACAAAUCACUUCUGUUCAUGGGGGAGGGUUUUAAAAACUCCACAGGGUAAAAGAGUUUAACUUGUAAUAAAAGAAAGAAAGUGUGGUGGCUGGGUGGUAGAGAUGGAGGUGUUUGACGGGCAUGAAAAUGCAGUCAUUGAUUUCUGUGGGGGAGCACAAGUCUCAGAGACCCUGGAAAUGUGCACCUAAGAAGAUAGCAUGUGAUGGAAGAAAGAGAAUGCAAUAGAGCAAGUGUGGGGUCAUGGAUAUUGUAUCUUAUCCAACAGUAAAGCUGCAACGAAGACAAGGCACCGAUACUGGCGUUCCUUGCUUGGGGAGCCUGUUCAGACUGUGCUGGCUGACAUUCAUGCCGCGUGACUACAACGUUCCCUACAAUGUAGCAGGCGCAUGUCGAAAAAGUCCCUUUCAGGUGACCUUGGCUCUCGGAGCCUUCCUGUGUUUCCCGCUCUCAGAGACAGUCCGGGAGCGGUCCGGCUCGGGAACCCCUCCAACCCCAACACAGCGGAGACAAAAGCAAGCCCUUCAGCUUCUUGGAGGCUGGCUGGGAAAAUCAAGCGGGAGAAUUAAAAAAAAUACUCAACACAGGGCCCGGUAGCCGAGAGCUCAUGGUGUUUUCAUGGGCGAGGCCCCUUUGCUGGGCGUGCGUGGGAACAAGGACCUCGCGGUGACCUUCAGGGGGCUGCGGCUCCGUGGGUGAGUCGGGUGCCACGGCUUCCGACUGUGGCCGGGGCUCGGGGUCCCCG
rnacentral:lncRNA from 1 species